rnacentral:rRNA from 1 species
UACAGAGGGUGCGAGCGUUAAUCGGAAUUACUGGGCGUAAAGCGUGCGUAGACGGUUAUUUAAGUCGGAUGUGAAAGCCCCGGGCUCAACCUGGGAAUUGCGAUGGAGACUGCAAGGCUUGAAUCUGGCAGAGGGGGGUAGAAUUCCACGUGUAGCAGUGAAAUGCGUAGAGAUGUGGAGGAACACCGAUGGCGAAGGCAGCCCCCUGGGUCAAGAUUGACGCUCAUGCACGAAAGCGUGGGGAGCAAACAGG